rnacentral:rRNA from 1 species
CGGGUGAGUAAUAUAUCGGAACGUGCCCAGUCGUGGGGGAUAACGUAGUGAAAAUUACGCUAAUACCGCAUACGAUCUACGGAUGAAAGCGGGGGACUCGCAAGAGCCUCGCGCGAUUGGAGCGGCCGAUAUCAGAUUAGGUAGUUGGUGAGGUAAAGGCUCACCAAGCCCGCGAUCUGUAGCUGGUCUGAGAGGACGACCAGCCACACUGGAACUGAGACACGGUCCAGACUCC